GUAGUUGUAGCUCAGUGGUAGAGAGCUUGCCUAGCAUGUAUGAGGCACUGAGUUCCAUCCUCAGCACCAUACA
rfam:Ictidomys tridecemlineatus contig103483, whole genome shotgun sequence.